rnacentral:rRNA from 1 species
CCUUUAGCUAAACAAAUAUUAAAGGCAACGCCUGCCCAGUGAAUAAUUAAACGGCCGCGGUACCCUAACCGUGCAAAGGUAGCGUAAUCAUUUGUCUAUUAAUUGUAGACCUGUAUGAAAGGCAAAAUGAGAGUCUAACUGUCUCUUAUAGUAAAUCAAUUAAACUGAUCUCCUAGUACAAAAGCUAGAAUACCAACAUAAGACCAGAAGACCCUGUGAAGCUUUAACUAACCCAUUAAACCCUUUAAUGGGUACUUUUGGUUGGGGCGACCUUGGAAAAAAAAGAAACUUCCAAAUAAUGACGAUAGUCACCAACAGGCCAACAAGCCAUCACAAGACCCAGUAUACCUGAUAAUUGAACCAAGUUACUCCAGGGAUAACAGCGCCAUCUUCUUCAAGAGCCCAUAUCAAAAAGAAGGUUUACGACCUCGAUGUUGGAUCAGGACAUCCUGGUGGUGAAGC